AAGAGGCCCGCGUGAAUUAAGUGUAGUUCUCUUAUGCACUGGCGGACUCUGGUCGCCCUUCCUUGUGAAGGCUGCCUGGGUAGCCGUAGAGGACGAGGCCACUCUAAAGCCUCGUUUUCCCAGCGGAAUUUUAACUAUUCUAAGGAUGUCCUUACAGCCAGUUCCCCACUCCGCUACUCAGAGUGUGUCAGACUUUACCCUGUCCAUUCAACUCCAGAAAAACCGGGAGGUCUAGAUUCGGAAGAUUAAAUUUACCUUUGAAUUAGGACAUGUAAAAUAGGAAGUUAAUAUUAGCAUCCUAAUGACAAAAGUUUUCUCGUUAUCAUACUUGACUCAAAUGGGAAUCUUACGGAUAUUAAUGUUUUUUCCAGAAACAGGUUUGAAAGGUAUUUCAAGGAUAAAUCUGGGGAAAGGGAUGGAAGCAACUGAUUUUUAAUUUUUAGAUAGUACUCUCAGAGCAUUUAUUUAGUCCAAAACUGUUAAUUUAAUGAAUUAGGCUAAACUAGACGCUGGGGUAACAAAGCUGAGUUAGAUACCCUCUCCUCUGAGGCAGCUAAAGAGAAGGAAAGUCUGGUGGCUGACAAGUAAACCAACAGUUAUGUUCUUCAGAGAGGAGAUCUCAGACUCUCUAAGCAAAAGAAACUAAUAGCUGUAUGACAACAGCCAAAGAGUAAAUAUCCUUUCAAGUCCAAUCCUGCCUAAGAUGUCAAAAUCAAGAAUGAAGAGGUUAUGUGCUGAAACAGAAUGACCUUCACAAGAUGCAGCCUCUGGAUCUUGGACUUCCCCAGCCUCCAGAACUCUGAGCAGAGCCCCAUAAAUGAGAAGCCACGAAGACUGAGGUUACACAGUGAUCCACAGUUGCCACAAAACUGAGCAGGCAUCAAGGUACAUCUUGGUGUUGAAUGAAGUUGUUCCAUAUGGGCUCAUUUCUCAGGUUGUUUGCAAAAAAGAAAUAAUGUAAUACAGUGCACCAACUGUAUUUCAAAGAUGCAGGCCAACUCGACAUUUCAUGUGCUGAAAACAGGUAUUAAAUAUACUUUAUAAUCUGAUAUCUGAUAUGUUAUUGCAUUUGGGUACCACUCUCUAAGUAUAUUUAAUGUUGGAAUAAAAACUGAAUUGAAAAGUUUUUUCAUUAUGGAUAUUUUAAGAUUCCUUUUGGUUGUCAUUAACAAGACAUGAUAAAUAUAUUCUGUAUAAUAUAAAGCAAUAUGACUAUUUGAACUCUUCACACAACAUAGUAUAAUGGUCACAGAUAUUUCAAUUUGAUUUGGUAAUCUUAUGCUAUUAAAAUCAUUAAAAUGUAAAUGAAUUACUGAAUUAAACACACUUUCACUACACUCUUAGCACAAUUAAUAUUGUAUAAAAUUAUCUGCAUAAUUAUACACAGUAUGUUUACAUAAAACAGCCAGGAAAGAGCUACAAAUCAGAGGCUGAGUGUAAAAUAUUUUAAGCUGUGUGCUGAAGUCUUCUAAAUAUGGAAAUCUAAGUGGUUGUUUUAGUAUUGGUGCUUUAUGUAACUGCAGACUGUUCUAAAUUUCAUGCUUUACUUAUUUAAAUGCUAAAUAACUCUAUACCUAUUUUUAAAAUUCUCAUAAAUAUAUAUACAUGUACAUAUAUGUGUGUGGGUGUGUAUAUAUAUAUAGAGAGAGAGAGAGUGAGUGAGUGUAUUUUAAACCUGUGUGCAUUGUUCACAAAAUUAAAAGGAAAUUAUUUUCUUCAAUUAAUUUACAUUAUGAGUUAACUAUUUGAAAUUUAGCAUUAGUUCAUCAGCAAAAGCCACAAUGAGCAUUUUAAUGCAGCAUAGGAUAUACAGAUAUGCCUAGGACAAAAGACUCAACAUUUCCAGAAAAUAGGAACCAUUUACAGGGAACCUCAUUUUAUGAAUAGAAUUGUGACCAAUAAAAUAAUGUUACAAAAUUACCUGCAACUAUUCUAAGGAAAGAAAUACUCUUGAAUGCUUACAUACCUAGCAACUGUGGAUAUUAUUGUAAUUAUUGCCAUCCUUCACAAGCAUCACUCAUAUUACUAUAGUGAUGAACAGACUGAUUCACCUGAAUAAUUAACCUUUACUACAGCAUAACUACCUUCGGUACAGAUUAAUGUUUUCUAUUCAGCUUAAGACAUAAACCUACAUGGGAAAUCACACUUAUUAAAAAUGCUGUAAAAAUCAAUUGUUUCCUACCACUCUGAGGAAUUAGUAUCAACAAUUAAUUUGUGCAAUAUUUUUAAAAGCUUGUAUUCAUCUGUCUGUGCCCAUUAAACAAAAACAGAAUACAGCAAAAUGAAAUUAACAAAGAAUGCUAAUAAAAUACAACUUUUCUGUUGAUAUCUUAGAUAUAUAACUUUAUUCAUUAUUGUACAACUCUUGGUUUUUUACAUGUGGGAGAUUUAAAAAGUCACCCAGUGAUUUUUAUAGUGCAACCGUAUGCUAGAUAAAGAUAUUUAAGCUGUCAGUAUAAACUGCUUCUGUUUUCAUUUUGCAUUUAAUUUCAAUGCCAGACUCAAGGCAUAAAUUUUUCAUCACCUGCAAUGCUAUGAAUAAAAGAUUAAAAAAGGAACUGAGAAGAAAUUCUAACACAUGCGGUGCAUGCAGCACAUUGUGCAGACGCAGUAUUCAUAACUAGAUGUUUAAUUUCCAUCUUUUUUUACGUCAGGAACAUUAUUAUUUGGGUUAAUACAUCAUGGAGCUAAUUUCCAGUAUUUUAGCUUUGCAGAAUUCAACUUUACCUAGUUUGAGCCAAAUAGGCCAUUCAUUCUACUUGAAAUCUCAAGUAUACGCCCUAAGAUUUACAUGCUACUUUGUUAGCACUGCAGGGUUCUAUUACUCUCAUAUUUCUAGAAAGGGAAUAUUUCAACAUCAUAUAUUUUUGUUUGGUUCCGUGAAAUAGCAUGUACAUUAACCUUGCCUCAAAGUUCAAAGAACUAAGAAUUACUGAAAUGGUCCCGCCUAAUAUCAGUUCCUCAUUAAGGCUUGCUUCAUGCUAUCUGCCAAAAGAUAUCAUCAAUCCCAAGAGGUAAAGUUAUGAGCUCAGUGUUAAGGCAUUUUUUAUUUAGUACUUAGGACUGUUUUCUGUAGCACAAUGCAUCUUCACUGUCACUUUAUUAGCCUCCACAGGACUCACAGACUAGAACAAUUUCUAAUUCUUGCCAAUAGACUCUUAGUGAGCAAGAGACGCGUAAGAGCCGUUCCUAAUCUCAUCAGGAGGGCCUUGGGUUUAUUAGCCUUGCCAUUCUGAAACUUCACUUUCUCAGGGCAGUCAAGAGCCUGCUGAGGACUACAGGCCUAUUGGGGACAGCAAGAGUUAUUCCCUUGGAGGUUAAUGGCUUCUAAUAAUGUCUAGCUUAUUGUCUUUGGCUCUAAUUACUCAAACUAAUUUUUAUGGUUAUAGAAAUUAAAUAUAUGGAAAGCUUUGGAAAAAAAUAAACCAAACCAUAUUUUGAUACAUUAUUAUCAACAUAGUAUCCAAUUAGCUCAGUUGGUUAGCAGAUAGUGCUAAUGAGACCUACGUCAUUGGUCCAAUUCCACAGGGGCCAGUUAGCUUUACUUUGUUCUGUGGUCACAGACGGAUACCUCAUCCUAUCCAGCUGUCUUAAGUGGUAUUGGUCACCAAAAUAACCAAAUGAGAGAGCAUGGACGGAUUAGUGUAAAUCCACCUCUACAACUAGGCUCUAGAGGGCAUCAGCAUCAUUUUUUGUGACAAUUGUACAAAAAUGAGGUUUUUAAAAUGAGACUUUUUGAUUUUUUUGCUUAUUGUUUAUGACUGUAAAGCAAAUAAUUUAUAUCUUCAAAACAUUUAAUGGGCUUUAAUGAGCUAGACUUCGUAACAUCUCUAUGAUAUUGACAAGUUUAAUUAAGCUUACUUUACAGUUGAAAAAGCUCAAAACUGAGAGGUUAAGUCACUUGUCUGAGGUCACAUAAAAUGUCAGAGGUAUUUCUCAGAUUAGAAUCCUGGUCUUCUGUAUCUCAUUCCAUUGCGGUACCCAUGAGAGUGCUCUGCCUCUAUGGAAACAGUCUGAAGACACAGUAAUAUGUCACUAUAUUAUCACAUUAUUUUUCAUUAUGCUAGAAGACACAGCUUAGCGAAAAGGCACAGUGAGUCAAGGAUUACAGAUGUAUUUCUCUUUAAGCAACAUAAAUGUAUGGAAAUUUGGAUUUGCUGAACAGAUAAAUUAGAAAGUGUCAUGUAUCACUUAGUCUGUGCUACCUCAUAUUGUUAUUAAUCAUUUUUUUUGCAUAGUCUAACUUCCUAACUAGACAGUAAGCACGAGGACCAUGUCUUAUAUCUCUUUGAAUCCAUACUAGAUAUUAAUAAAUAUUUAGUCAUGACAAUGGCAUUUGAUUGGAAGGGGAUAGAAAAAUAUAUGACUGUGGACCCUACGGAAAGGGUAAAAUAGGGGAAGAGAUAAGCAUCAUGACAUUGGGAAGGCAUCGAUUUUUCCUAUUGGGCCUGUGUCAUUGCAGCAAUUUUAGUUUGAUGUAUUAUACAAACAAACUUUAUAAGAGUGCCUAAAACAUACCCUAGAUACCAAGCAUGAAGAGGCCUUACAGAGAUGACAUACUUAAGGAAAAUGCUUUCGAUGAGGAAAAUGCCUAACCAGCAGUGUAGGAGAGGCAGCUUGGCAUAGCUAUGGAAGGUAGAGAUGUCACUCUGUGCAACCCUGCACCACGCCAUCAAUGGAGAUACGGUGUUGUGUGAAAAUUAGUUGCUCAGUAUUGUGGAAGAGAAAACCACAUGAUGGCAGGGGAGAUGGGCAGAAAUAUGGUUUUUAUUUUUUAAAAUUAUUAGUCACAAGAUAUUUUUAAAUUGUAUGCUUUUCUUAUGCCUGAGGUAACCUUGUUUAGGAGAAAAUUGAUUUACUUAGAACUUUUCAGAAUUAUGGCUUUUUUUUUUUUUUUUUUUUUU
rnacentral:lncRNA from 1 species